rnacentral:lncRNA from 1 species
ACAGACUGCAAGAUUAUGUAGCUGAAGGAAAGUGUCUUACAGAGUGUGAAACAACAGUGUUCUUCAAUUCGCAGAAUUAGCCAAAGUUUGAUACAGUUCAGUAAAAGAGUAAAAUAGUAAAACUGGGAACAUCAUUUAUCAUCAUUAGUAAAGCAUUGUGGACCGCUUUUGUCCUGGACAGGUCUCAGAUAAACCAGGGGCUCUGGAAUGUAGAAGAGUAUGAAUGCUAAGUAACAAGAUGUUCUUACAAAAAAUGUACUACAUUAGAGACAAAAGAAGCACAUGUAUACCACCAUGAACAUAAAACAUUUACCUUAUUAAAAUGUAAAAGAAGUCUGAAAAUCU